UUUUUUUUUUUUUUUUUUUUUGAGACUGGGUUUCUCUGUAUAACCUUGGCUGUCCUGCAACUCACUCUGUAGACCAGGUUGGCCUCAAACUAAGAAAUAUGCCUGCCUCUGCCUCCUGAGUGCUGGGAUUAAAGGCAUGCGCCACCACUCCCCUGCGGUUUUUAAAUUCUUUUGUAAAUUUUAAAUAUUGUUGCAGUAACUAAAGGAGCCAAAGGUGAGGGCUUUUUAUAUCAUAAAGAGUGCCCAUCAGCAUGUACCUUAAUAAAUGAAGCAAGGAUAAUGGCUUCUGCACUUAGGUAGAGCUGUAGACUCCACAGUUGGUUAGGAGUACAAGGUCUGUCUGGUUCUAACUAGUUUUUGAGCCUGCUUGCAUAGUGGGGUCCAAAAUGUCCAUGUAAAAAAUAGCGCAAGGGCCAGCCGAAUGGCUUAGCCAGGAAAGAUGCGUCUGAUGCCCUGAGUUCAGUCCCCAGAAACUAUGCAAAGGUCAAGGAAGGAACGGGCUGCACAGCACUGUCCUCUGACCUCCACUGUAGCAUGUGCGUACCUCAACAAUAACAACAACACGAUUUUUAAAAGAGGAAAUUGUCUAGCUGCUAUUAAUUUUAUCUUUUCCUCCAAAGAUUCCUCUGACAUCUUCUUCCUCACCACAGAAGCAAUAAAUCUGAAACCCUUUGGAGAGAUUAAGCAAUUUAGAUGAGGAAAGGAAACGCUUGGGAGAUGGUGUCUAGCAGGAGGCACGCACAAUGCAUUUGCAACUGGGUUUUUCUCAUCAGUGUCUUCCUAAGAUGUUCACAUCAGUAAAGUCUUUUUGUUUUUUCAUGGCCUAAUUUUAGUAGUUUAAGAACGGUGGUUUUACAGAAGCUUAAGUUCACAAAACGUGUGUUGGUCCUAGCUGAGAACUGCUUCGGAAUUGCUGCAGACUAAUCCAUAGCAAUUACCUCUGCCUUCUCGUCUCCCUCCCGACUCAGCGUCCUUCCUGAGACCCUGGAAAUGCUCCAGAGUAAUAGGACUCCUUUGCCUUAGAAAUACUUCCCCAGUAAUGAACAUGGUAAUUAGAUGCAGGGUUUGGAUUAGGGCCUCCUGGAUUCAUACCCAAGCCUUCUCAGCUCUCUGUGGAUGUGACCUUUGGACACGCCCAUUAACAGCUCUCAGGACUAGUUUCCAAUCAACAUGCAUUGGGAUAGACAUUGUAGGAAGCUCCUGGCAAAGCCUGCAGGAUUGGAGAGAGGGAUGUAUGUGUGCAAUGCACCUUGCACCACAUCUAGCUCCCAGAAAACAUUGUCAACAUUCUUACGAACCCUGCUAUCACACGCCUAAACAGUCACCUCCAGGAGAAGCUGAUUCGAGGCAUGUCCUCACAGAUACGUGACUGUGGAUUGGUAUUUAUUUUUCUCGGUAUGUGGUCGUGUCUGUGGGGGAGAACUUGUGUGAACUUAGUGACUACUCUUUGAAUAAGCUAUCGUGUAAAAGCCUUUCUCCGUCUUCUCCGAGGCUGUCUAUACAAUUUUUGCAGGGAAGCCUGUGAUGUAAACUCUUGAGUGCUGCUGUGCAAAAUGGUGGCCUAAAGCACCACGCAAGGGGGGUGGGGUGUUGCCAGGAGUUUUUUGAGAAUGUUGAUUGCUUAUGCUGUUUACUUGCAUAUUGGAGAGUUGUAAGGAUGUGCGCAGUCUAAUUUUAAGAGACCUGAGGAGGUUAAUGGAUCAUGGGCUAAUGAUGUGUGUCUGUGCAUCUUUCCACCUUUCUAAAUGGCACCUCAGAUUUCACCUUCACCAGUUCCCUCCCCCCUGACCGAGUGUAGCUGUGGCAGUGUUGACAAGCAGGCUAAUGAGCUCUGUUCCUUGUUUCUAAUUUGACACAUUUUAUCUGGAUUUCCUGAUUUGAGGCUUGUUAUCCUUCUUCAAUUCUCCCUCCUUCCCUGCAGAUGAACCACAGGACCUGAAGCCACAGGCAGCGAGCAGUCCUGAGGGGGAGUGGGAUGGUUAGACCAGGUGCUUCAGGUCCUCAGCUCGUGGAUGCGCCUUCCUGGUUUUGAAGAAAGAAAAGUUUCCUUGUACAUGUGCUUCGUAGAGCAGGCUGUACCCACUCUAAAAGUUAGAAACCCAGAUAAUACAUAGAUCCUGUCUGUCUAUUAUUAAAACAGACGACAACAAUAUAGAAACUGGAAAUGGAAUUUUUUAGACAAAAACACUCUGCAUGGCCCCUUUCAUUUUUGAGGGAGAAAUUAAAGGAUAGGAUUCUAACACAACCCAGUAAGAAGGAUCUGAUGAAAAAUAUGUGGAAAUUGGAGUACACCGCAGGUCUUUAAAUUUAGUUUUGUGUCUCUUUUAGUAAUACAUUAUUGAAAUAUUCCUGGGCAUAUUUUAAAGAAUCUUCUUUGUAUCAAAAUAUAUGUGCUUUAAAAACCAUCCUGAAAAGGUCUGGGGAGACGGCUUCGUUGGUGAAGUGCUUGCCAUUCAAGCAUGAAGUCUUGAGUUUGGAUCCCCACAGUUGCUGGGUACGGAGAUGUGAGUGUGAUGCUGGAGCCAGGGAGUUGGGCAUGCUAUAAUCCUUGGAGCACCCUCUCCAGCACAAUAGGUGAGGUCCAGACUCAGUGAGAGUCUAUUAAAAAUAAAGGGAUGGAGAGAUGCUCAGUGGUUAAGAGCAUUCAUUGGAUGCUCUCCCAGACGACCUGGGUUCAAUCUCAGGCACCAGUAUGGCAGCUCACAGCUGUCCAUAACUCCAGUUCCAGGGAAUCCAACAACUUCACACAGACAUGUAUGCUGGCCAAACAGCAAUGCAC
rnacentral:lncRNA from 1 species